UUUUAAAAAUAAAUAAUAGGAUCUUUGCUUCCCAUGGGUGCUAAGAGAGGUUUGUUUUGGAGUAAUAUAUCUCAUUCACCAAUAACUUAAUAAAAGCUCUAUACAGUUUCAGAUACUUGUUGAAGAGAAAUUAGAUCUGUACUAUUUGCUUUAAUGUCAUGAUAGGUUUUAAUCCUUAAUUUCAUGAUCUUUGACUAAAAGUUGUUAAAUAAUAACAAAUGUAACAUUGUCCAUAACAUAUACUGCAAUUUGUACAAUUUGUAUAAACAUAAGCCAAUGUUUGGUUUUGGAAAGAUUUUGUACAAACAUAGCCAAUGUUUGGUCUGGAAAGCCAAUUUGUACAAACAUAAACCACCCACACAACUGCGCUCCCAUUCCAAAAUAUUCAGAACUCGAGGGAAGAGAAUAAGGCACAGUGGAAAGAAUACAACCUUGAAUCACAGAGGGACCCAGUGACAAUGUGAUCUCUGCCUCUGCCACUUUCUUGCUCUGUGAAUUGAGAGAGAUUAUUUCAAUUUUCUCAGUGUCACUUUCUUAAUCCUUUCCUUAUUCAAUCUUUUUAUUUACCUUGCUCAGGCAACACAAAAGAAGACCCAGAAGUAUCAUGGGCAAAUCAUGGACCAAGAACUGGAAUGAAUAUCUAGUGCACUACCCGAACUAAAGACUGCAGACGAGAAAGGGAAGACAGGGGUUUAACCAGCAAUUCAAAGUGAGGUGAUCAGCCUUCCGUUGACAGAGUUAACUGCGUGUGAAAGUGCUGUUAAGGCCCUUCAGUGCAAGAUUGAAGUGAAGUGAUGAUAUUGGACAUCUUUGACUUCAAAGGAAUGCUUUGAAAAUCUCAUCAUUAGAUAAGAUUGUUUGCAGUGAAUUUUUAAAAAAUUUGUAAUUAGCCUUUAUCAGAUUGAGGAAGCUCCAUUCUAGUUCUAGUUUGUCAUGAGUUUUUAAUUUUUAUCAUGAAUGGAUUUUAAAACUCAGAUGCUAUCUGAGUUUUUAUGUAUCAAUGAGGUGAUGUCUAUUUUUAUUUUGUUCUCGAUGUGACAAAUUGCAAUGCCUUUCUAAUGUUAAACUAACCCAAAUUUCUGGUAUAAAACAACUUGUUUAUGAUGAAGUCUCCUUUUUACCAAUUGCUGGGUUUAUAUUUUUAAGAAUUUUUGGAUUUAUGUUCAUAAUGAGAUUGGACUGUAUGUUUCCCCUGUCAUACUCUCUUUAUUGGUUUUUGGUAUCAAGAAAAUCCAGUCUGAUACCAUGUAUUAGAGUUUAUCUUAUUUUGUUGUUAUCUGGAAAUAUGUAGGAUUGAUAUUAAUUUUUCCUUAAGCCUGCUGGUAAAGAUAUUUGAACCUAAACAUUUUGGAGGAAGUUUUAUAUUGCUGUUUUAGUUUCUUUACGUUUGUCUCAGUAUUUUCUUUUGUCAAAUUUAUGAGUUUUCUAGAAAUUUUCUAGACAGUUUCUUCCAAAUUUCUCAAUUUAUUGAAAUAAAGUUAUUACAUAUAGUUAUUAUCUUUGUAAUAACUCUAGACUCUCUAUUUUAUUUCUGAUAUUAUUCUCUUGAUUACAUAUAUAUAUAUAUAUUUAAAUGUUAUUAGUCUCCCAAUUUUUGGCUUUGUCUUCUCUAGCACAUUUAAUCAUUUAUUUCAUCAUCAUUCAUCAAUGUUUACUCUUUUUCUUUAAUGCUUUCUUCUUUAUACUUCCUUUUUUGCUGUCCUUUUUGUAAUUUCUGAAGAUAAAUUCUUAAAUAAUGACAAGCCAUUUUUUCUUUUGAAUGCAUGCUUCUAAGUCUAUACAUUUUACAUGCUGUACAUUUCAAAUUGUAACAUGUAAUGUUUUCAUUAUCAUUCAGUUUAGUAUACUUUCUUUUUUCUCACAUGAUUUCCCUUUGAUAUGUGUUUUAUAAUGUCCAAACAUAGUAAUUUUCUAGGUAUAUUUUGAUUAUUAAUAGUUUUCAAAAACAUAUACCUUUUAUAUUUACUUGUACUUACUUUGUCAUAGAAUAUUGUCCAAUUUUUAUUAUUUUGCAUUUGUGUGCUAUAAUAUUUGUUAAUUUUUUCUCUCUGUAUUUUUCUUGAAUUUAUAAAUGUAAACUGCCACACUGACUGUACAUUUGGGUUUUUCUCCUUAUAAUUUAAUUCUUUAUGCAUUUUGAAAAUUAUGCAUUUUGAGUUCAUGUAAUUGACUGCAUAUAUAUUUUAAAUUGUUAAACUUUCUUGGUGAUUCUUUUAUCAUUAAUUUAUAUUUAAUAUGGUAACAUAUUUUUGUGAUAAAUUCUAAUUCACUAUCUUUUUAAUUCUUAUAUUUAUUGUUUUAUACAAAUUUUCCACUUUACUCUUUAUUUCUUCUUUCAUCUCAACCUGCUUUUGUGGCAGCAAUUUUGUUUGGCAUGAAUAAAAUACCUUAUUCACCUUUAGGGAGAAAUGUAAUAUUCUAGUUUUGCAUAGAUUAAGCUGGAGGUGUCUGCGAAAUGUUUAAGUCAAGAAAUCAAUUAGUAUUUGGAUGUAAAAGUCUGGAUCUCAGUGAAGCCCUGGAACGAACAUAAAAAUUUAGGUAUCAUUGGCUUAGAUGUUUUUAAAGCUCUGAAAAAUGGAUGAGAUCCCCUCAGGUGAAUGUAUGGCAGUAGAAUAUAAAGAGCUAUGACUGAGUCCUGAAGAAUUUCAAGAUCUAAAUGUUGGAUGCAGGAGGCAGAUAGCCCAGGGAGAGAGAGAGGAAAUUCAUGGUGUUACAGAAGACAAAGAAUCCAAAACUUCCAUAAAGAAGGGCAAAAUUUUUCCCAGGUAGGAGAAGUGUUUUCCAACUUCGUUCUGCAAAUGGGAAGACAGAGCCACUGAUUUCUUGACCAGCUUAGCCUUAAAUCACGUAACAAAGUUUACUAUGAUCUUCAGAUUGGUUAAACCUGUGUUUAGAUGAUUUGGCUACUGGCCUUGCUGAGGAUAUUUAAAUCAUUAAGACAUUUUGAAGGCCAAAAAAUGAUGACUUUUGGAUUUUACUUCAGGAUAAAGGAAGCCAUGAUAGGUUGAACUAAGUAACAAAAUAGAAAUCACAACUCUAUUCUGAAACUGCUUGAAAAAAUAACAAGCUUUACUUUCAGUUUUUCUCCAUUGAAGUCAGCAGGAACAUCAGUCUGGAUUACACGACGCUAAAAAGAAAAGCAACUGGAGCUGCUGAUAAGACACCUACUCGGAGUAAUGAUGCAUAAUGUGAAAAUGCAAUAACCCAGACCUCAUAAGUACGGACGAAUGCCAUCUUUUUAAAGGAAAUGGUUGCAAAUGUGAAGUGCAAUGUGCUGAGCCAUUUUCAAAGGCUGGAGUGAAGGUGUGAUAUCAUAGCUCACUGCAGCCUCUAACUUCUGGGCUCAAGUGAUCCUCCCUCUUCGGCCUCCUAAAGUGCUGGGAUUACAACUAGUAUGUGUCAGAGCUGGAAGGAGGAUGCAGAUCUUUUGAUUUCAAGUUCAAGAACACCAUUGAUAUUGGUCUCAGGGAGCUGUAACUUCAAAACCAAUGGAUGUAUCUUAGAGGGGAAUGAGGUGAAAAGAAAACUCUAGCUGUAAAGAUGCUAAAUCAGCUGUGUACCUCCUGGCUCUGCUUCUGCCUACUCCUUAAUUCCCACUGGGUUUGUUGCCUGAUUUAUCUCAUAGAUUCUAUGAUUAUACAUUGAAUUGAUCUUCAGCAUCUGGUCCUGGCUGUGCUGCUGGUUCUUUUUUUCUUCAAUGAUCAGGUUUUUCAUCUUGUCCAUCAUCUUCUGGACCUCAAAUACCUGCCAAAGACUAGAUUUUGCCUUAAUUUAGUGGCCUUGAACUCUACUGAUGAUAUGAAGCAACGCUGCUCUAGCUGGUAGAGAAGGAAAAUGUCUAAGACCUAUGGACCUUACUUGAGAACGAACUUUUAAAAACAAAUAUAACAUAUUCCCAGGCAGUUCCAAAACUUGUGUUUUAUAUGUUAAAAUGUGUUUACACUAAUAUAAAAUUUAACUGUCUUUUUAUUAUUACCAAUAAACCAAGU